rnacentral:rRNA from 1 species
GUCCACGCCGUAAACGAUGAACGCUAGCCGUUGGAUAGCUUGCUAUUCAGUGGCGCAGCUAACGCAUUAAGCGUUCCGCCUGGGGAGUACGGCCGCAAGGUUGAAACUCAAAGGAAUUGACGGGGGCCCGCACAAGCGGUGGAGCAUGUGGUUUAAUUCGACGCAACGCGCAGAACCUUACCAGGGUUUGCCAUCCUGCGACCGCUCUCUAACAGGAGUUUUCCCGCAAGGGACGCAGAGACAGGUGCUGCAUGGCUGUCGU